AGAAAAUAGAGACAUAAAAACGAUUCAAGGUUUGUCAGCAGAUUAGGCUCUAUCUUUUCUACUUUCAAGGUACUGACUAUUUUCUCUCUCUUUCUUUGUCACCUCAACUGCAUGUUGCUCUGAUUUUCUAAAAACCCUGGAUCCCAACAGGGAAACCCUGUGGAAAUGAAACACUUAAUGAUAUUUCUAACUCUCAGAAAGAUUUCGGUAAGGGCAGCCGUGCUCUGGGUGAUGCUUUGCAUUAAUCCAAUGCAUGAAGAGUCUAUUCCCAGCACCGAGACGUUAGAGGAAAGGUUUGAACAGAGGGGCAGGCGGGGGAAACUGGAUGGAUUCCCAGACCCAACCGAGUCAAGUCUUUCCAGUUCUGCUUCAUCGUGUUGUUUGAAAUAAAUUCCCAGAACAUGAGAUUCUGCUGCAUUCAAAAAAAAAAAAGAGCUCCGAAGCCCCAUGUAAACGUUAUUCGGGCCUAUCAGCUGCCUUAAGACAGCCAAAGCUGUUUUCCUUGCCAUCAAUACAGUCACGAGUGGACAAUGGUUAAAUGAGUGAUGUUUUAGGAAUACCGUAGCGGCAUUUCUGGCAUCCAGGCAUACCUCACCUUGGGAGGCCCAAGUACACCUCCCUUGCUUGCUCUCUCACUCCAACUAGGGGUCACAAAUCAGUUACAUGGGAAAACGAUGGAUCUCCUCAUUGGUUUUCUUUUUUCUAAAUUUUUAUUUAUUUAUGAUAGUCACACACACACAGAGAGAGAGAGAGAGAGAGAGAGAGGCAGAGACAGAAGCAGGCUCCAUGCACCGGGAGCCCGACGUGGGAUUCGAUCCCGGGUCUCCAGGAUCGCGCCCUGGGCCAAAGGCAGGCGCCAAACCGCUGCGCCACCCAGGGAUCCCGAUCUCCUCAUUGGUUUGAAGGAGGAACGAGGACGCUACGAUAUCCGACCUCACAUGCGCAGCGCCCAGCGCGGUGGCCGAAAUGGACAACAGUCAGUAGGAGAUUUCUCUUCGUGUCUGAGAAUUUAG
rnacentral:lncRNA from 12 species